rnacentral:tRNA from 2 species
GUUUCAUUAGCUCAAUGGCAGAGCAUGAUACUUCUAAUAUCUGUAUCUUAGUUCGAGUCUAAGAUGAAACU